GGCUGGUCCAGGUGCAGUGACGUUUACAACUCAUCAAAACCAGUUACAGAUUUCUUUGUUCCUUCUUCACUCCCACUGCUUCACCUGACUAGCCUUAA
ensembl:misc_RNA Y_RNA Y RNA